CAUUAGAUGGCUGAAAGUAAGUAAUGGUCUCUUAAACCAAUUAAUAGUAGAAUAACGACUACUUCUAAUGA
rnacentral:tRNA from 1 species